rnacentral:rRNA from 1 species
UACAGAGGUCUCAAGCGUUGUUCGGAUUCAUUGGGCGUAAAGGGUGCGUAGGCGGCGCGGUAAGUCGGGUGUGAAAUCUCGGAGCUUAACUCCGAAACUGCAUUCGAUACUGCCGUGCUUGAGGACUGGAGAGGAGACUGGAAUUUACGGUGUAGCGGUGAAAUGCGUAGAUAUCGUAAGGAAGACCAGUGGCGAAGGCGGGUCUCUGGACAGUCCCUGACGCUGAGGCACGAAGGUCAGGGGAGCAAACAGG